rnacentral:lncRNA from 1 species
GCAGCGGUAUGAGUGGUUCUUUGAUCUGCGGUGAUAUUGGCUAUUCGCAGUGAGGCUACUGAGUUUGACUGCAUUUUUUUUGGUCCCUAGCCAUUCGGGUCCUUGCUGUGUAUGUUGGCUUCAGUAGGUUCAGAUUUGCUGUUUGGAGUAGGAUGCACCUAGAUGAAAUUUAUCGAUCUUGGUAGAAAAAGAGAAGUCCUAU